rnacentral:rRNA from 1 species
UACGAAGGGGGCUAGCGUUGUUCGGAAUCACUGGGCGUAAAGCGCACGUAGGCGGAUCUUUAAGUCAGGGGUGAAAUCCCGAGGCUCAACCUCGGAACUGCCUUUGAUACUGGGGAUCUCGAGUCCGGGAGAGGUGAGUGGAACUGCGAGUGUAGAGGUGAAAUUCGUAGAUAUUCGCAAGAACACCAGUGGCGAAGGCGGCUGACUGGUCCGGUUCUGACGCUGAGGCGCGAAAGCGUGGGGAGCAAACAGG